GUAAAUAUCCAUGUGUUUGAGUCAAAAUAGUAUAAACAAUCGAGCCAUUUUAUAGUCAAUUGAAACCAUUGUUUUACCUUAAAUGAAUUGAAAGCUCAAACCUAGCUUAUAUAUCAAACAUAUCCGACUGGAUAUUCUGGCCGGCAGCAAAAAGCUCUACCUGGUUCAGUGGUUCACCCUAGGCUUACUAACAUUGUCUUGGUGAAGCAAUAAAGUGCAAAUAUUCAGCCAUGAAAUAUAACCAUGUGGUGAUUCAUCAGUUUUGUAUUCUGCUCUUUUAUGCUACAUAUCUAAUAACAAAG
rnacentral:lncRNA from 1 species